rnacentral:rRNA from 1 species
UACGGAGGGAGCUAGCGUUGUUCGGAAUUACUGGGCGUAAAGCGCACGUAGGCGGCUCAGCAAGUCAGGGGUGAAAUCCCGGGGCUCAACCCCGGAACUGCCCUUGAAACUGCUAAGCUAGAAUCUUGGAGGGGCGAGUGGAAUUCCGAGUGUAGAGGUGAAAUUCGUAGAUAUUCGGAAGAACACCAGUGGCGAAGGCGACUCGCUGGACAAGUAUUGACACUGAGGUGCGAAAGCGUGGGGAGCAAACAGG